GGAAGAGAGAAGGGAGACGGCAUGCGAACACAGUCUCCUCAUACAGCUGAUCGGUGGAAGUGCCGGGUGUAGGACCCCUGCCGGUCUGAUGUUGAUGACCUAUCCUAAGGAUAGGUCAUCAAUAGUAAAAGCCAGUACUCAUGUCAAAUGCAGUAACAAGAAAAUGUUACAUAACUGUAGAUAUUGUCACUUUGUGCAGUUCCUGCAUACCUCUUCUAGUAAUCAUGCCUCAUGUUGCGCUGCUUAAAUUUAAAAUGUAAUACCUUGCCUAACCACAGGGUGUGCUGUUAAUAAACAGUGUCCAAGGCCCCACUGUUCAGUAUAGAUCAGCACACUUUAGCAUCACAUAGUGGUAAAAAUGUUUAGUGCAAUAAUCUGAAAACCAUAAAGUCACACUGCGAUUCUUGUACUUAUGGUGUCACAGCAUAGUUUUAGAUAAUCUCAUCAAUUCUAUAUUUAUUUUACAAUAUAAAAAGCACAAGGAGGGCAGCACGCCAAUGAAAAUUCGGGCUUUUAUUCGCCCAGAGUUAGCUUAAUGCAGCCAUUUUCAAGCAUUUAGCAGCUGAAACAUUGCAAACUCUGGGUGAAUAAAAGCCUGAAUUUUAAUUGGAGUGCUGCCUUCCUUGUGUAUGGACUGAUGAGGAUUUGGAUUCUAUCUCCCUGGGGGCGUGCACCCGUUUUCCUUUCUUUUUGUUAAUUUUUACUAAUUUUCUUCUUUUUUUUUCUACCUCACUGUGCUGCUUCAAUUGCUCUCUUCUAUUUUACAAUAUAUAUGCAGGCUAUCAGACCAUCAAUUGGUAUGGGUAUAGUUACAAUAUAUAAAACAGAUAAAUUAAACCACCGUGACUGGCAAAGUUUUGGCAAAACUACCUGGUAAAAUGCUCUUCCUAGAACAAGAAUUUUACAAUGACAAAAUAGUCUUUUGAACAAUAUACAGGACAGAAUAUAUACAAAGAUGGAAAUAAAAUCUGAUGUAUUAUAAAAGAAAUGGAAAUCUAAAAAAUCAAGGACCCCAAAAACUUAAUGCAGGUAAAGUGUUACUCCCACCUCAGCUCCUAAUGGCUGAGAUCGGAGUAACCCUUAUUAGCGGCAUCCAGAUGUGGCCGGAGUGACGGAACCAGCUGAGCAGGCUGUACUACACCCUGAACUCCAUACAAGUGAAUGAGAGCUACCGAAACAGCAUAACACAGCAAGCUCAGCUUUUUCUGUAACUCUGGUGACAUCGGCCUGCCGCUAACGACUAAGUCCAGUAAUGAAAACUGGGAGCUGCGGAGCCUAACAGAGCGGCAGGGUGCAGGUAAGUGGGUGACAAUGCCCCGGACAACCGCUUUGAGGAUACAUCCAUACAGGUCACCUAAGUCUGGGAUUAACGGCUUGCUGCAAGUAGUCAAUACAGAUGUGGUUAUAACACAGAUUUAAAUUUCUAGCCUACAACGGUGUAUCAAAAAUAAUCAUACUUAAAAUACAGUUCUUUGCAAUAGGUAUACUGUAUGUAUAAUGCACACUCUCAUACUGUAAAAGCUAGUUAAAAUCCUAUUAUAUGAUGUGCUAAAGGUAAUUUCCUGAGUAGUAUUCAGAGGGCCCCCCUAUAUUUAAAUAUAUUUCAUUGGCACUUAUUAAAAGUUGCUUACUGGACCAGGGUUGAGCUCCUGGUCCAUUUAUAUUCUCCUGGCACUUCCGGGAUCACGUGCUGUACAUCGUACACAUGACCCUAGCCUGGUUACAAUCCACAGCGCAGGCGUGAGAAUGAAUCUCCCGCCGCCUUGCUAGCAUGCACUGUGGGUUGUCACCAGGCUAGGAUCAUGGGUACGGUAGGAUCACAAUGUACGGUGAGUGAUCCCAGAAGUGCCAGGAGCAUAUAAAUGGACUGGGAGGGAAGCACUGGCUCCUUAAGUAACUUUUCAUAAGUACCAUAGAAAAAGUUAUUACUCUAAUUGGGUUGAGGGCACAUGAAAUAAAAAU